rnacentral:rRNA from 1 species
AUUGAACGCUGGCGGCAGGCCUAACACAUGCAAGUCGAACGGUAACAGGAAGCAGCUUGCUGCUUUGCUGACGAGUGGCGGGCGGGUGAGUAAUGUCUGGGAAACUGCCUGAUGGAGGGGGAUAACUACUGGAAACGGUAGCUAAUACCGCAUAACGUCGCAAGACCAAAGAGGGGGACCUUCGGGCCUCUUGCCAUCGGAUGUGCCCAGAUGGGCAUAGCUAGUAGGUGGGGUAACGGCUCACCUAGGCGACGAGCCCUAGCUGGUCUGAGAGGAUGACCAGCGACACUGGAACUGGGACACGGUCCAGACUCCUACGGGAGGCAGCAGUGGGGAAUAUUGCACAAUGGGCGCAAGCCUGAUGCAGCCAUGCCGCGUGUAUGAAGAAGGCCUUCGGGUUGUAAAGUACUUUCAGCGGGGAGGAAGGGAGUAAAGUUAAUACCUUGGCUCAUUGACGUUACCCGCAGAAGAAGCACCGGCUAACUCCGUG